rnacentral:rRNA from 1 species
UACGAAGGGGGCAAGCGUUGUUCGGAAUUACUGGGCGUAAAGGGCGCGUAGGCGGCUUGCCAAGUCAGGCGUGAAAUUCCCGGGCUCAACCUGGGGGCUGCGCUUGAUACUGAUUGGCUUGAAUGCGGGAGAGGAUAGUGGAAUUCCCAGUGUAGAGGUGAAAUUCGUAGAUAUUGGGAAGAACACCGGUGGCGAAGGCGGCUAUCUGGCCCGUAAUUGACGCUGAGGCGCGAAAGCGUGGGGAGCAAACAGG